rnacentral:rRNA from 1 species
AGAGUUUGAUCAUGGCUCAGAACGAACGCUGGCGGCGUGGAUAAGACAUGCAAGUCGAGCGAGAUUUUUCGUUGUAGCAAUACGAUGGAAAGUCUAGCGGCGAACGGGUGCUUAACACGUGGGCAACCUGCCGUGAAGUGGGGGAUAGCUCGCCGAAAGGCGAAUUAAUACCGCAUGUGAUUAGAGAGGACAUCCUUUCGAAAUUAAAGUCGGGGCAACCUGACGCUUCUUGUGGGGCCCGCGGCCUAUCAGCUAGUUGGUGAGGUAACGGCUCACCAAGGCUUUGACGGGUAGCUGGUCUGAGAGGACGACCAGCCACACUGGGACUGAGACACGGCCCAGACACCUACGGGUGGCAGCAGUCGAGAAUUUUUGACAAUGGGGGAAACCCUGAUCGAGCGACGCCGCGUGGAGGAUGAAGGUCUUCGGAUUGUAAACUCCUGUCAUUGGGGAACAAGGUGCACACGUUAACUGCGUGUGCAUUGAUAGUACCCGAAGAGGAAGAGACGGCUAACUCUGUGCCAGCAGCCGCGGUA